GACGAACGCUGGCGGCGUGCUUAACACAUGCAAGUCGAACGAAGUGGCGAACGGGUGAGUAACGCGUAAUCAACCUGCCCUUCAGAGGGGGACAACAGUUGGAAACGACUGCUAAUACAGCAUACUGAAGGAGGGGAUUGCGUCUGAUUAGCUAGUUGGAGGGGUAACGGCCAACCAAGGCGAUGAUCAGUAGCCGGUCUUAGAGGAGGAACGGCCACAUUGGGACUGGGACACGGGCCAGACUCCUACGGGAGGCAGCAGUGGGGAAUCUUCCGCAAUGGACGAAAGUCUGACGGAGCAACGCCGCGUGAGUGAUGACGGCCUUCGGGUUGUAAAGCUCUGUUAAUCGGGGCGCGGUACCGGAAUAGAAAGCCAUGGCUAACUACGUGCCAGCAGCCGCGGUAAUAC
rnacentral:rRNA from 1 species